CAAUAGUGUAUCUUAAUGUUGUUGCUGUUAAAAAGCUCGUAGUUGAAUUUCUGGCUCUCUAGCUAAGACUUGUUCGAGGCAGGAGGGUCAUCCGCAUUGAAAGUGCAUAUGCCGAAUAAGCUGUGCAUCGAAGAUGUAUUUUACUUUGAAGAAAUUAGAGUGUUCCAGGCAAGCAAUGCUUGAAUAUUACAGCAUGGAAUAAUGGAAUAGGACUAUCCAUUCUGUUGGUUAAUGGAUCAGUAAUGAUUAACAGGGACAGUUGGGGGCAUUCGUACUGGGCAGUCAGUGGUAAAAUACUGUGACCUGUUCAAGACGCACUAAUGCGAAAGCAUUUGCCAAGGAUGUUUUCAUUAA
rnacentral:rRNA from 1 species